GGGAGAACUUUUUUUCUCCCAAAUCACAAAAAUAUGAAGAACUCUCAACCUUCGUAAAGUGUUUCGAUCUCUUCCAAACUUUUGCAUAAAAGGAUCCGAUUCAUUUAUUAUAAUUGGAUCCGACCUGUUUGAUUUUGGUACUAAAAGGAUCCAAGUGUUGUUUGUUUAACGGCCCAAAUUCUUAUUCUCACAAGCCCUGUCGUUAGUUAGACAAUGUGAGCUUCAAAACAAGAAGAAACAGGGUGAUCGAGAGAGAUGGAAGAGAGUAAAGGCAAAACAACAGCAUACAUUGGUUUUAUAGCAGCAUAAUGUUUUUGCAGUGACUCCUCCACAUGUGAAACCUGUCAUCAUUAAGGUUUGUGCUUUAGGAGGUCUGAGGAGAUUGCAACACUGAGACCAUUCAAAUUUGAAAAACCGAUCCAAGAUUUAGGCACUGGAAGGAACAUGGUUUGUGCUUUUGGAGAUCUGAGGAGAUUGCAAUUGUAGUAGACUUCUGCGACAGGUAGUAUAUUAGUUGAGUCUCACGUAGAGAUAUAUUUUUGAAGGAUGUGAGACUUCUUUAGUUUGUCUGAGAAACAUUUUAUUUGUGUUAUCCACUAACCCUUCGUGAUCACAUAUGAUCACGGUCUUGUAAUUUUAGAAUCGAAAUUUGGAUGUUGAAUGAUUGUCCUAUAUUUUGCAUU